rnacentral:lncRNA from 1 species
UUAAAAGUCAUGUAUCCAGUCCUGGGUACAUAUAGCAGGGACUUAGCUGUGUUCUGUGUGACCCCAAGGGGUACAGUGGGACCAAUCAGUGGGAGAUAGAAAGAAACAGAUUUUAGCUCAAUAUUAGGUGGGGUCUUUAAAAACUCAUGGCUGCCCAGGUUGGAGUAGGCUGCACACAGAGGCAGAGCUUCCAACGGCAAGGGUCCUCACAGCAGAGGAGCGUCAGCUGCUUGACAAGAACAUCAGAGGGAAAUUUCAAGCUGUGGCCUCUCUGGCCUCCAAAAUCCCUUCCAACUAGGGAUUAUCUAAUCCUUCGAUUAGUGAAUCUCCUUCAAGUUGUCUACUUCACCAACUUAAGAAGGAAAUGAACUCCCCGGUGCUGAGACCAGAUCAGUGCAAAUGUGGCCGAGGGACUUGGGUUUUCCUUUUACUGCUGAAUCUGGUUUUCUUGAGUUUCAGUGUGGCAGCGUUUGGCUUGCUGGGCAUCAGGCACACGAAUCUGAGAUUAAGAAGUUCGGUAUCAAUGGUCGCCCACCUUUCCUUCUGGAUGAUCAAGAGGAAACAAGAAGGUCAUCUAACAUGGCUUCUCGGGCCAGGAGAUGUGCGCUGUAAUCAAAGGGCAGUAGGAUCCUGGCUCAAUUCUUGUGUGACUUCCCAGGGCCGCAAGGAUGGAGGUGCCAGGCUAAGGCUGGCCAGUUUCUUGAUGCUAACCCUAACCUUGUUUUUGUGGUUCCUCCUGGCCUGGUCUCUCAUUUUGAGAGACCCCUCUCCCUAGGUAAGUCCCCUCUGUUUUUCCCCCGUCUCAGCUGAUCUUCAUGGAGCAGAUUUUAUCUAAUCUUUAAGGUGUUGUUUUUGGUCCUUGUUUAUUCUCUCUUUCCAAUCUGUUGUUAAGUUUGCACCUUUAGUGACUCCUUUUUUCCAAGUGAGUUUUAAGAUUGUUCGCUCUCCUGUGAAUCCAAAAGGACAGUUUUAGAAGACCUGGAAUUCCACUGUACUCUGUAUUUGACUGUGUUAAUGCUCAGAUUUAAAGAAAAAAAGAUUAC